GACGAACGCUGGCGGCGUGCUUAACACAUGCAAGUCGAACGGAAAGGCCCUGCUUUUGUGGGGUGCUCGAGUGGCGAACGGGUGAGUAACACGUGAGUAACCUGCCCUUGACUUUGGGAUAACUUCAGGAAACUGGGGCUAAUACCGGAUAGGAGCUCCUGCUGCAUGGUGGGGGUUGGAAAGUUUCGGCGGUUGGGGAUGGACUCGCGGCUUAUCAGCUUGUUGGUGGGGUAGUGGCUUACCAAGGCUUUGACGGGUAGCCGGCCUGAGAGGGUGACCGGCCACAUUGGGACUGAGAUACGGCCCAGACUCCUACGGGAGGCAGCAGUGGGGAAUAUUGCACAAUGGGCGGAAGCCUGAUGCAGCAACGCCGCGUGUGGGAUGACGGCCUGCGGGUUGUAAACCGCUUUCGCCUGUGACGAAGCGUGAGUGACGGUAAUGGGUAAAGAAGCACCGGCUAACUACGUG
rnacentral:rRNA from 1 species